rnacentral:rRNA from 1 species
UACGGAGGGUGCGAGCGUUGUCCGGAAUCAUUGGGCGUAAAGGGCGCGUAGGUGGCCCGGUCAGUUCGUGGUGAAAGCGCGGGGCUCAACCCUGCGUCGGCCAUGAAUACUGCCGCGGCUGGAGCACUGUAGAGGCAGGCGGAAUUCCGGGUGUAGCGGUGGAAUGCGUAGAGAUCCGGAAGAACACCGGUGGCGAAGGCGGGUCUCUGGGCAACAACUGACGCUGAGGAGCGAAAGCGUGGGGAGCGAACAGG